UCUCUGCCCAAAAAGAAAUGAUUAAUGUUCUAUAUUUCUUCAUUUUACCAAAUUUCCUCUCUGCUCUUCUGCAUGGUCUCUCUAAACACUCUGAUUUCUAUGCCUGUUAUCCUAUAAUCUAGGAAAAGUAGUUACCUUUCCAAAUCUCAUUUUUUCUUCAAAAGGUUUCUAUAUAGACCCAAUAGUAGUAAUCAUGAACACUGAGUUUGAAAAAAAAUGCAUUCAAUAUCAUUAUUUUGUUCUUGAUGCAAUGUUUAUUUACUCUAAAUAAUUUUAAUUUGAAUAAUACUUUAUUACAUUUAUUAUUAUCAUUAAUAUUCCUCCCAAAUAUUCAUAGAUGUUUAUAUUUAAGAAAGUGAGUCAUGUACAGUCACAACAAAUAUCACACCCGGGAUUGCAGACAACUCUAUUCAAAAAGAACAGAAAAACAACCCAAGGUAUGUCAUCUUUAUAAGGUGUCAAAGAAGCAAUUUAAGCAACUUCCUUUGAAUUAGGAAAGUGGAAUUAAUAGGUAUAAAUAAUAAGUAGAAAUUCAGAAAAGAAAAAUGAUACUUUUGAAAGAUUCUACAAAUCAGUUAGUGUUGUAAAAAUUAAUAUUUAUAACCAAAAACACGUAGAAAUGUUGAAUUUAUUUUGGCACACUGAAGGGGGAUUAACUUUUAUGAGAAUGGUUAGAAUAAAUGAGUAAUUAAGGAAAAAUUAAUUAUAUUUGAAUUUUUUUCUUCUUGGGAAUUAAAACCAGAGCAGAGAAUUUAAGAAUAAUUCAAUACUGUUUAAUGGACACAGUUCUUAACAUAGAGCACAAUUAAGAAUCUUUAAAAAAAUAUAGGGCUCUGGACCUCAACUCUAAACCAAAUAAAUGAGACCCUGUGGAUAUGGAAUCCAGAAUUGGUGUUAAAACUUGCCAGAUAUUUCUCACUGUGACCAGGUCAAACACUACUCAUUUUGAGAUAUUUAAUGGUGGAUGGGAGUAGGAACAUAGGCAGAAUAACAGCCUCCAAAUAUUUUCACAAACCUAUCUCCAGAGUUUAUGAAUGUGUAACUUGAUAUGACAAAAGGGACUUUACAUAUGUAGUAAAGGUAAGGGUUUUGAGAUGGCAAGAUUAUCAUGGAUUAUUUAAAAGAGACCAAUAGAAUCCAAGGGUCCUUGAAAAAUGGAGGAAUGCUGGACCAAAGUGACAUGAGGGGCAGGGGAUGGUAUCCAUGGCAGAUACUGGCCUCACAGUGCCUCUCAUGAUGAGAAAUGUGUUCUGGGUCUUCAUAGGCUUCCUGGGUCAUCCCUAAGGGUCCUAACCUCUAUCAUCACCAUGUUGAUUACAUGUUCAGUUUGCCUCUAUCUCUUUUGACUGAUUGCAAUUCUGACCCAACUCAACCCUCUCUUUGGACCACAGCUGAUAAAGGAAACUAUCUGUUACCUCAAGCAUCAUUGGCCUUGAGGAAGAAGACCAGCACACCAGUCAUUAAGUCACAAAAGAAUUCCUCUAGAUUCAAAAGUCACCUCUAUACCCAAUGCCUUCCUUGACUCACCUAUUCUGGCCAUCAGAUACAUUAAAUAUUCACAUGACAUUUGAAUAUCUUAUUCUACAAUGUUUCUACUUUUUUUUUCCUGUCAAAUUUUGUAUACUUUGAUGACUGUUGUGCCUAUUUAACUUAAACUGUGCUAUUUCCAUAACACAUUUAUGUUGUCUUCUGAGAUACAAAAUGCUGUUUUUCUGAAAAACAUGUUGCUUUCUCCUUGGAAGCUGAAGGUUUGAAUAUGGCCUCUACCUGCUCGGAACAUGGGAAUUGGUGAAGUAUUUAAAAACUGUUAACAAGACAAUAAGAUUUCGGUGAAACAGUCAGUGGGAAAACAUGUUCAGAGGGAAAAUCUGUCUCACCAGAUUUAUACCAGUACACAUUUUCAAGGUGAAUUUCUUAUUUCUGCCAUCUUUUAGAAUAAAUUAUCUUUCUGUGACCUAUGGGAAAAAUGGGAGAAGUGUCAGAGUCAGAUAUGUGACCAUGGAAACAGAAGUUGGAGUAAUGCAGAGCCAUGAGCCAAGGAAUACAGUUAGCCUCUGGAAUAUAUAAGACAAGGAAGUGAAUUCUCCUGUAGAGCUCUCAGAAAGAAUAGAGUUCUGCUGACUCUUUUUAGACUUCUAGACUACAAAACUGAACAACUGUAAAUUUGUGUCGUUUUAAGCAACUAAAUUUGUAUAAAUCGUUUUAAGUAGUGAAAUAAAGCUGAUGCUGCUGACUGCUUAAAAGGGUGCAUACCUAAAUGAUCAUGCUUCAUGGUAAGAUAAGAAUCAAGAUGAGCAGACAUUGCUGCUUUGGGUCCUUUGUAUCACUGGUUCUCUUUCAAGUCAUUCUAAUUCUCUUCUUCCAGGUACUGGUAUUUUCUAUUAAUAGGGUAAGCUGAAGUAAUUUCCUGUUUAUUUCUGUUCUCCAUAAAUCCAAAGUGAUUACUGUGAAAAUUUUAAAAUUAUAUGUAUGUGGAUAACAAGAAUUAACCAGGAUGAAACAGAAAAUAUGAAGAAAUCAAUUACCAGUAAUGAAAUUGAAUCAGUAAUUUUUAAAACUCCCAACAAACAAAAGCCCAGGACUAGAUAGCUUUACAGGUUAAUUCUCCUGAUCCUAAAAUGAAGAGUUAGCACCUCUUUUUCUCAAAUUAUUCCAAAAACUUGCAGAGAAAAAUUCAUUCUAUGGAGCCAGGAUCACCUUAAUAGCAAAACCCAGACACAGGUACCACAAAAAAGAAAAUUACAGAUCAGCAUCAUUGAUGAAUAUAGAGGCAAAAAUUCUCAAAAAAUGAGUAAACCAAAUUCAACUAAUACAUUAUAAGCAUCAUACACCAUGAGUGAGUCAGAUAUAUUCCAAAGAUGUAAGGAUGGUCAGUAUUCAUGAAUCAAUCAAUGUGAUACACCACAUUAACAAAUUAAAAAUAAAAUCAUAUGAUCAUCUCAACAGAUACAGAAAAAGCUUUGACGGAAUUCAACCCCAUUUAUAACCAAAAACUCAAAAAAGGAGUAUAAAGGGAACAUACUUUAACAUAACAAAGGUCAUGUAUGACAGGCACACAAGUGACAUCACACUCAAUGUUGAAAACUUGAAAGCAUUUUCUCUAAGUUACACAAGUAUGCUCACUCUUGACAUUUUUAUUCAACACAGUAUCAGAAGUCCUAGCCGUAGCAAUCAGACAAGUAAAAUAAAUGAAAGAAAUACAAAUUGGAAAGAAAGACUUAAAAAUUUCAGUGUUUGCAGAUGACAUGAUACUGUACAUAGAAAAUCCUAAAGACUCUACUAAGAAACUAUUAGAACUCAUUGAUGAAUUCAGUAAAUUUGCAAGAUACAAAAUUAAUAUGCUGAAAGUUUAUUGGAUUUUUAUCAGAAAGAAAUAAAGAAAACAAACCCAUUUGUAAUUGUAUCAAAAAAAACCAAUAUACCUAGGGUUAAAGACCUGUACUCAGAAAACUGUAAGACACUGAUAAAAGAAAUUGAAGGUUGUACUAACAAAGCUAAUGGAUUAGAAUAAUGAAUAUUGUUAAAAUUACCAUGUUAUCCAAGGCAAUCUACAGAUUAAGUGCCAUUUCUAUCAAAAUAUAAAUUACAUUUUUUCACAGAAAUAGAACAAAUAAUUCUAAUAUUUCUUUGGCAAUACCAAAGAUUAUGAGUAGUCAAAAAAUCUUGAGCAAGAAAAACAAAGCUUAUGGUAUCAUGCUCCCUGACUUCAGAUCAUACUAAAGAGCUACAGCAAUCAAAACAGUAUACUACUGGCAAAAAAACGGACACAUAGAUCAGAGGAACAGAAGAGAGAGAGCCCAGAAAUGGUCAAUUUAUUUAUGACAAAGCAGGCAAGAAUUUAUACAAUGGGGAAAAAGCAGCCUCUUCAGUGAUGUUGAGAAAACUGGACAGCUGCAUGCAAGAGAAUCAAAAUGGACUACUUUAUUGUACCAUAUACAAAAAUAAACUCAAAAUGGAUUAAAGACUAAAAUAUUAGACCUGAAACCAUAAAAAAUGCUAGAAGCAAACAUAGACAGUAUAAUCUUUAACACCGGUCUUGGCAAUAUUCCUUUGGAUAUGUCUCCACAGGCAAGGGAAACAAAAGCGAUAAUAAACAGAUAGAAAUACACCAACUGAAGUAAUUUUACUUACUUUUGCACAGUAAAUAACUUUAACAACAAAAUAAAGACUGUCUACUGAAUGGAAGAAGAUAUUUGCAAAUGAUAUAUCUGAUAAGGGGCUAAUAUGCAAAAUAUACAGAGAACUCAUACAAUUCAAC
rnacentral:lncRNA from 1 species